rnacentral:lncRNA from 1 species
UUUUUUUUUUUUUUUUUUUUUUUGUGUGGAGCCUAGCUCCAAGAAAAGAGUACUUUUUUUGAGGAACUAACCAUCCAUGGUAAGGGACAAGAAUAGAUGAAUGCAGGAUGUGUCCCACAAAACCGUUUAACGUUGGGUUGUUGGAAAAACUCCCAUGCCCGCUGCAGUUCCAAGAAAUUGGAGAUUUGAUUUAAUUAUCGCAGACCAAAACAAAGAAAAGAAAAGAAAAGGAAAAAUGGUGGUGAUCAACUGGUGGGUGAAGAGAUUGCAGUAGUUACCAAUCAUGGCCAAGAACAAAGAUUGCCCAAAACAUUGUUCCCUGAGCAGCCCAAUAAACUGGCCAAACCAUCCAAUUGUCGAAGUGAAGUGCCAGUGCUAUUAAUCCAACCACUACAACAAGGUCUCGAGCAACAUAACUCAGAGACCUCCAUGGAUUCUUUACCCAGCAAUGCUCAGGAAUGGCCGCUCGAAUGUCAGCAAUCUUAAAAGGAGGCGGUGCGCUUGGAUCAAAAUCAACUUCAUCCAUGUCUUUGCUAAUGAUACCGCUGCUGCUGUUCACCGGUCUCUCUGUCUCCUCGCACUCUCCCACCAAUGCCCUACCAGGUUUAGUAUUUUCAACUUGGCCCUUCUUGUCUGCCGAAAGCGGCGAAAGGGAGUGACCCAAAUCUGUAAAAAGGUCGGUGAGCAAGAAAACCAACUUGAGAAGCAAAAAAGAGAUUCUUGAAAGGGAAUCAACCACUUUCUGCUCAAGUAUGAAUCUUGAUUUUUUUUUUUUUUUUUUUAAAAAGGGUUCAAAUAUUUUAGACUCUAGCACGACUACCAAGGGGGGGUGGGUUGGGGUGGGGAUGGCAUUCUGACUUUGCCGUACAUGCUGUGGAUCUUAUGCACAGAGAGCAUCGGCAACAGCAAAUGCCAGUUGGGUUCAUUUUCAAGUGUGAGGAACUUGCUGCAACAAAUAUAUGUUAGUCAUUACUCGUACUAUUGUCUGUCGCCCAAAAAUUUAAAGGCAUUUUCACGCGGGUAUCUCCAAGUAUAAAAUACUAGUAUAUGGUAGAGCAUCUCGUUUCGCAGGACCUUACUUCUCCUUUUUCUAGGUUUGUACAUAUCAUUUUUUUUUUUUGGGGAUUUGAUUUUACUAAAUCUCUUAAUGAACAGAGAUUCUUUAUACAUUAGCUAGCUACCUACGACAUGUAUUCUAUUCCAAUGCACUAGCACUAUUACAGUAGUAUUACUAUUCACUACUGCUGGUGGGAUUACCGCAUAAUAAUCUCAAAGCAUCCCCUCCCCUAUUUCGCCCAAGUUGUUUUGGAACCGAAUCUGAAUAGUGGACGGAGAGACAAUAAUAUGUGACAAGGGGGCAGAUCGUUUUCAGUCCGUUGUUGGAUUCUGAUUUAUACAAAAUUAAUUAAACUUGUAGUACUGCUUGUGGUUGAAUUUGUAAGUUUUUUUGGGGCCAUGAUGCUAGGAAGACUGAAAGAGCACAGCAAAGUACGCUCACGCACUUAGCACCGAAAACUGAAGUUUGUUACAUCCUAUCCUAUAGUGUGAGCGCAUAUAAUUUUAGCGGACUCCAAUCUCCCAUGUUGACAGAAAGCGAAAGGUGCAAUAUGGUGGUGCCCCAUGCAAAAGACAUGGGGGAAAAAGGAAAAUUCUCUUACGAAAGGCAGUUUUUUUCUGUUACAAUGAUGAAGAAUUCCACUUUCUGGACAGACUCAGCACAUAAACAUAUUGGAAUCUUAAUUUUAGAAAGUAAUAGUACAUAAAAUGGAAACAGGACAGGUACAAUUAACCUUAAUUUUGUUAUGAUUUGCUGUACAUUCACGUAACUUACUUUGUUUUAUUUUAUGGUUUGAGUACAAUAAAGUUAUUUAAAUGCACAACAAAUUAUGAAAAAUGUACGACAAGCUUAUCAAUUGUACCUAAGAUCAACGAUACCUGUUCAAAUCAUCAAAUCAACCAUGGUUAACCAUAUGCUUGAAAUAUAGAAAUCCUCCACCGAAUUUAACAGGAAAGACGGAGAGAAAAAGCUAAGGAGAAUUCUAGAAUAAUAUGCUUCUUACCAGAUUGGAAAUAUUUCUUAAGAAACACGGAGAGAUCGAUGUGCUCUUUGUUCAUCACAAACCAUUCAUGAUUUUAGGCAACUUUUCGCGGAAAUAGAAAGUUAGAGAGCUAAGCAUAUGCAUGACAUGAAUGUGGUUGGUUGAUAUUUUACCUUGACACAUGUCGGCGGAAGAGAGCACCAGCCGCUGAGGGUCAAGGAGAAGGGGGAAGAGGGAGGGAGAUUGAACGCUUAUUCCUGGAUCAGCCAAGCCGGAGAAGGACAAACGAAUUUGUGUCUGUUUCUCGGGGUGUCAGCCAUGCAGGGAUCCUCAAAUUUAUAAGGCCAAAAAAGUAUCGAUGGCCCUCGGAAUAAAAACGGUAAGAGCAUUAUACACGCCAGGAAUGUGUGAAAUUUGCUUUGCAGCUAUACGCUAGUGACAUGGACGAUGUGUGCCCGUCGAACUCGGCCCUCCGUGUUGUCUCUCGUGGGGUUGUGCUUCUCCAGCCACUCCCACCAUCGGUUUACUUCUACAAUUUGGGUACUCUCUCUCCAUUUCCUUUUUGGGAAAUUUCCGAACGAUUUUUGCCUUUCCCCCCUCUCUACCCCUCUCUCUCUAUAACGCAUUUUUUUUUUUUUGGUAACAAGUUUGCUCCCGGAUGGAUUAUCGACCUUAAUUGUGAACACUAAAUUCCACAUUGCAAGGGAUAUGAAAAUACUCCCAUCCAAUCUCUACUUUUGUUUGUAUCCCUAUUCAUAUUCUUACUAAGUCAGCUUCGAAAUUAAUACCAGUGGUGUUUCCGGGCGGCGCUGGAUUUCUUUUAGAAAUUAAUACCAGUGGUAUUCAAAGAUUUCAAUGUUUAUUCUCCCCUAAAACAGUACUAGUAUUUUUAUUUAUUUAUUUCUUGGUUCUGAAUCAAAAUUUUAAUUUUAUGUGUUGUUGUGCUCGUGCUGGUGGAGCUCCGCGACAAGGACCCGAAUCAAUAGUUGUUAAACUCAAGCUGGAUUUUCUUUUCUUUUUUUUUUUAAAAAAAAUUUCCUUGGUUAUGCGCGUAUCUCAUUUUCUUCAAUUUAAACAUGCUACAAUGAACUGUACACAAAUAUGGGCCUUUGAAGCGACGGCCGGACUGAAGCCAUUAGGUCAAAAUUGCGUACUAGAGUUAACUACUAGUAUUAGAACAGUGUGCUAACUGGAAAAUUUUAGUUUGAGGGGGUGAAAUACACACACAUAUAUGCAUAUAUAUAUAUAUUAUAUAUAUUAUAUAAUAUAUAUAUAUUUGGAGUCUAACAUAAAUUUUUUUUGAAAAGUUUUGGAGACAAAUAGCUCAAUAUGUAUUUUGAAAAUUCUCAAACUUUUAAGAACUUUGAAAAUUUUCAAAAUUUGAUAGAGACAAAGGAUGAAUUUUCAGAAUUUGACAGGAUAAGUACGAUAAGUAUUACGAUUUUUAAAGAUAUUAUGAACUAGCCCACAAAAAUAUGGCAGAUAAAACUCACAUAUAAUAAAAUUUCAACCCACAAUCCUACACAUAGUGCUCUCACUAUUAACAUUUCAUGAAUUAUAAGUCUUGAAUUCAAGUGUUCGUAUAUGUUAAUUUUUUCUCCCGCUAUUUGUGAAUCAAUUUAUAUUAAUUAAUUAAAUUUCUUCUACAUUUAUACGUAAUAAACGCGAGAUCGACGCCGAAUUUAAUUUAGAAUUGGGAAGCGGCAGUCUGGCGGAGAGGAUCUCAACUUUGUGGUCCACAAGACAAGGGCGGGCCUCAAAGGUUCAGCCACGCAUUUCGCUCUCGGGCUUUUACAGCUUAGGAAAUUGCGUAGGCGUUCUGACUUGUGUGAGGUGGGUUUGUCAGUAGUUUCAAGUUGAGCGUUAAGAGCCACGUCUCACGAAGCGAGAAGAGCCAGAUUUCAUAAUUCGAAGUACGAUUUCAUAAUUCAGUCACAAUGCAUACAUUAUUAUUAGCUUAAAAUAAAUAUUAUAUUAUUUUAAAGAUGAAUUUCAAUUUUAAAUUUUACAUAUAUGAUAGAUGUGUAUCCAAAUUCGCUGAAAAAAUUAACCUUAAAGUUUGAAAAAUUAACCAUAACGUUUAUGAUUCAUUUUCUACGGGGUAAUUGCAAGUUUGUAUUUAAAAAAAUAGGAAAACAUUUUACAUUCAUUAAACUAGGGGGGUAAUCUUGAUCAAAAAACAGUUUUUUUUUUUUUUAGAUGAAAACAAAUUUCAUUGAUAGAUUGUUGGAAAUCAUGCAGCAAUAAAAUAAGGAAAAAAAAACACAAAAUCUCUGUAGAAAUCCCUAGAAAAACAGAAAUUUCUCACUAAAAAUCUCUAGGAAAAACAACCAAAAACUCUCACCAAAAAAAAAAAAGAAUUUCGUAAUUAAUAUGCGGGCAAGGUGAUUUAGUCGCAAUUACUCUUUGCGUAGACAAAAAAAAAAAAAAAAAAGGGCAAUUUAUGGCACGAUAUCAAUUGCACAACUGUAAUUGGUUUACUGGUCUAAAAAAUCAUACAACGGACAAUUAAAGUAAAAUAUUGAAAGCUAUUUAAAAAAGAGAGAGAAGAAGAAGAAAAAGUGAUACUUGAUUUAUAUUUAUUUCUGAAAAUUUAAUGCCCUUCUUAAUUUGCCAAACAAAACAGAAAAGAUCACCACCUCUCGUCUAACAUGAGCACAAGUUCAAUUAAUUCUCUUCUGAUGCCAAUAAAGUGUGGAAUGGUACCUUCAAUCCCACAAGGCUCAAAUUAGAUAUUUAAUACUCCAUACAGCAAAUAUAAUUUACGUUGCAGAAGAGAAACUCAAUUGGUUCAACGUAAUGGCUGCUCCAGAAGCAAAUAUCAAAAGUCUAUGAUCCCAAAAUCAAACGCUUUGACAUUUGUUUUAGGACCAUUUCCAAUUGCUAACGACGUUAUAAGACUGUUUCCCAAGUUUUAACCCGCCGUUGAAAUGGAAUUCUGGGGUAAUUCUUAACUCCAGUCAAUAGACAAAUUUGAGUUGAUCCUACUCGACAAUUUCUUCACAAGUCUUAGAAAGUGCGAAAUCCCAUACUAUCUAGACUUAGUUCCGAUGAUUUACCAAAAAAAAAAAAAAAUUCUAAACAACCUUCAGUCCAACAACCUCGAUGAUCAUGACUCCUUUGUAUCUUCUUCUUUGUAAAAAAAAUCAUGCGAUUGUAUCAUAAAUAUUUUUGAAUUAAUUUUUUACAUACGGAUAAUAUAUACGCUGUUGGUGUUCGAUGAAUAAUAACCAUACAAAAUUUAAAUUUGAAAUUUAACUUUUGCACACGUAUCAUGAAUUCAACAAUGAUAAUAUAUACACUGUAAGCGUAUAUAAAGUCUACUCAAUAAUUUCUAAUCACUAUUUUAUUAUUUCAACCACUUUAUCAUAUCACAUAAAUAUCACGUCACAAAAAUAUUAUAUAGUAUUAUUUUAAAAGUUUUUUUUUUCUAAAUAAUCCCCUAUGCGCGCGCGCACACACAUUCCACGGUCGAAAUAUGAAUAGUAAUUGCAGAAGCAGCAAAUUGUGCGGAAUCAGCCCAGAAUGAGGAUUGGAAAGCCAAAUGAAAAAUGUUUAAGCAUCCCCUUUGUACGGUAGCCCCAAGGCUCAUACGGUUCUAAUUCUAAAAUACGCUCCGGGAAGAAAGGGGAAGGAGAAAGAGGGUGGACACAAUAAAUUCAAUUCAAUGGUUGAGUGGAGCCAAUAUGAAUUAGGUGGUUGGUCCAAUUAAUACAAGUAAUGAGGAAACUGAUUUGUACUGGAGACGAUGUAUUAUAAUAAAACCUUUGGAGCAUUUACUGGGAGAUGGAUCGCAAAUCGACGGCCGCAAUCAGCCUUUAAUUAGCUGUACGGGGAUCGGCUUAAAACCUUAAAUGUUUGGUUCCCAUGAAAAAGUGCAGGACAGGACAGUGUGUCGUUAAUGUUGUUUGUCCUACCAUCAUUUUGUGAGUGAAGUCACACCGAAGUACCGUCCUUGUGAUGCACUGUAUCUUGCGGGUUACUAUAUAGUACAUCCGCUUGAAUUUCACUUUUUUUUUUUUUUUUUUUCCAUUCUAAAUCCGCACCUUCAAUACAUUGGUUACUUAUACAAUUAGCAUUGAAAGUACGUUGUAUGGAUCUAACCGCUACCCUAAUAUUAAGUUGUGUUUUACUGCUCAGUUAACCCGAUUUCUUAUAAUAGUACAUGAUUUGAUUAAAAACUCGAUGAACCUCGAGUCUAGAUUUUACUUGAUUAUUCACCAAGUAAUCAGGAGCUUCUGUUGAGUUGAAUUUGUUUAAAACCCACAAGUAUAUAAUAAAUUUUUUCAACUUUAUAGUUUCGAAAGAGAUAAUGAGUAAAUACUGCAUAAAAAAGCUUGACACCAAAAUAAAUCCUUAGAAUAAUUUAAUUGUUGAGAAACGACAUGGUAAAUGCAUAUAAGAAGUUCAUGGCCUUGAACGUUGUAGUUCAUGAUGGAAAAGAAAUUUGUUCCAGUAGUAUUCGAGUAUGCUUAGCUUAAUAACUCUUUGAAUCAGUUUAAAUUUUACAAAAUUAGCAUGCGUUUGUACCUUGUGCAAACACACGCACAUUAUUAUUGUUUAUUAAUAUACUUGGACUUCACCUAACAAGUGCUCCUGAGUACUCACACCAGACAAGUAGCAGCAAUGUUUCUCAACCAAAAAAAAAUAUAUAUAUAUAUAUAUAUAUAGUGAAUCAUGCAGUUGACCGGUUUUUAAGUCUAGAUCCACAUUAUAAAAAAAUAAAAAAGGGUCUAGAUCCACUGAACUAUACAAAUCAGAGACAAUUAAAUAUGAAAUAUCAUAUUUAACAAUUACAUAUUAUAUAGAAUCAUGUUUCAGAUGGUUUAACACUCCCAAACUAGUAAUGAAUCAUGCUCUUCUUCCUUUCCCUGCCGAAUAGGUCGACCGAGAAAAAAAAAGAAGAAAAAAUAUAUUCGAAGACAUGAUUCGCAACUCAUCAACCCUCGUCGUCUUCUGCAGAAACCCUUCUCCUUCACUCCCUUCUUGCUUUUAUCUCUGACAUCAUCUCGACAGCGACAGAGGCCGGAUUCGAAAUCGACAUGGUGGCCUGCUUACAUCGUGCACAAAGGCAACGACUAUUUGCUGCUGGCAUUGUGCACCAACAACCUUGACUCUUGAGGGCGAAUAAUCUCAACCACCAUACCUUCAAAUGCUACUAGACCUGCCAUAAUCCAUUAACUGUGCAACUACCCUAGUUUAUCCCCAACAUCAUACAUACAAAAUUCAGUCUCUCUAUUUUGCUAUAAAUUUGCUUCUAUCACUACACAACUGUUUAAAGAAUAUGUAAGAUGAUUUGUUCUUUUCCAUUUUUUUGAAAACCGGUGUGUGUGUGUAGGAACGAAAGAUAAUGGUGGAAAUUUGCAAUUAGCAUCUGACUCCUAACAGCUAUCUUUGUCCCCGGCUUUGACUAGAUGGCUGUCCACUAACCCCUGAUAUUUGUUUUAAGCUGGUGAGGGCAUCCUGAGCAUGGCUUUUUGUCAUAACGCUUCCAUAUUUAAAGGCCUCCACCAGGGCCCUAACAAGAGACUGAUUGAGAGAUUGGCGGUUGGCGAAGCUAUCCGCUCUCAACAUCUUAUCCACCAUACCAAUGGCCUUUUCCUGAAGCUCCCCUGGCCGCGAUUCUGUGAAGAGAACCACGACUGCAUUAGCCAUGCCAAGGCUUUCAAGCUCCCCCAUAGCACGCUUUAAACCGGCGGGGUUCUCCUGCAACAAGGUUGAAAGUGCUUCUAAUGCAGCAACUUGGACAGUCGUAUCUCUGUCUGAGAGUGCAUCAACCAAAGGCUUGAUGCAAUUGCUCUUGAGUAGACAAAGUUGGCUACCUUCUUCGCAUGGGGUGGCAUGAAUAGGACACAAAGAGUGUGCUGGAAGGGCCCUAGUACAUAUGAAGAAGGAAGAGCAGAAUCCUUGGGGAGGACUCGGGUCAAAGUCACCAGCAGCAGCGAGGGACAUUCCAGAUUCUGACAAGUAUUUCAAACCCAGGGCAGCUAGUUGUUUCAUCCUCACUGUUGAUGCGAAAACCAGUUGGUCACGGAAAAUGGUCAUAACUUGAUGCUCUUUGACUACACCAAGACAUUGUGGAUCAGAGCUCCUACAGAAGUGCAGUAAUAAGCCAAGGAGUCCUCCUGCCAUGGUGGAAUUGGACCUCGAACUUCUUCCAUUUGUACUGCAAUGCUGGCCCUUUAAAGUGGAAACGAUCCACUUAAUGAAACCAGUUCCUAACAUAGUUUUCACUUCAUUUUCUGAGAGGCUAAGAUUGGCAAGAAUGCAGGCAGCAUCAGAUCGCUCACCAUCUCUGGAUUGACUGUCAAGUACCUUGUCUUUGAGCAUGACAAACUUGUUGGAAGUUCUAAGUGCACUGGCAAGCUCUUCACCAAACCUCUCAGAGAGGACCCUUGUAAGCCUCAAAGCAUAAUUCCGGUGUUCAAUUUCUGGGCGCUCAAGAAAUGUGAUAAUUGUUUUGAUACCAUCUCCAGAUCUUAUGAGAGUAGUGACAGAUUCUGCAGAAAAGACAGUAACACCCAAUUGUCAUUAGUGACGCAGGAGUGUCAUUAGCCCAGGAUGCUCUGAGGAUGAGUUCUGUUUCACCAUUAAGCAAGUUCUAGAAAACUAGUUGUGUUAGUUAAUGAAAACAUCAUUUAAGGCUAUUUUUCUUACACUAAUACAGGAAGGGUGUACUAAUAUCCAACUGCUUCCAAGCAUCUCGGAAAGUUUGGAUCAGAUUGUUUUCAAACCCCAUAAUAUUGCUGUAUUCCAGUUACUAGGGAUUACAUUUUAAUUCUUUCUUUUUGAUUUCAUGUAAAGCAUUAAUUUCUCUUUCCUCUAAUCCAACUCCAAAGGGAAUGGUAACUUAUUUUUUCUGCAAAAGAGUGUAAAGGUUAUAUUGAUAUGACAAAAGUUACCUGAUGCUUGGGGUGAGGAUGCAAUACGAUAUAGAAUUUGGAGAACAGAUAGUUGGCAUGGAGGUGAUGCAAGUAAAAGAAGCCCCAGAAAACUAGAAAUAAUUGAUUCUGACUGCAGUGGAUGCCCUGCCUUGUCAGCAGAAGCUAAUUCCCAAUGUCCAGGGCUCAUCACAAUAUUUGCAAUAAUCGAUGCAGCUAAUGCCUUCAAUGCUAAGGAUACAACUUGAUUCUCAAAAAGAAUUUCUGUUAGAGCUGGAAGCACCGCAGAAUCAGUAAGGAUUGUAGCAUUUUCAGCAAAGCAUGAAAUGUUAUACAAAGCUUGCAGACUUGCUGCUCUUCCAUCCAGGUUUGAUAGCAGUUCAACUAAACUUCUAGCACCCUGACAAGCAAUUUGUUCCUUACUGCUAUUUGUCAAGGUCAUUCUCCCCACUACAGAUGCCAUCUCUAUUUUGACAUCAUCAGGACCUGUUCAAUGGAACAUUGAGAGUCAAUGAAAAAAAGUUUUCCUUCCUUUCGUAUGGAAGUGUUCAUAGGAAUAUAGAGUAUACGUUUCGGAUAUGAUCAUUGGUGUCAAGUAGUUGAACAUAAACAUUAAAGCAUAAGAAACUUAAACAGAAAUAUUAGAAAGAAACCUCUAAUCAUGCCCUUCAUCUAUUCAAUUAUUUUGUUGGAGCCCUGUUCUUAGUUUUAUUUGUAUGAUUUCAAAGCAAAUUCUGUUUUAUUAAGUAAACAGGUAAUUAUGUGAAUAAAUCUUCUGACCUCCGGGUGUACAUGCCAAUGAAUCAUCAGACCUCUGAUGCAUUUUUUUUCCCCAUUUUCUCAAAUUUACAAGAAUACAGUUACAGAAAAAAGUAUAAUGCAUGUCGCAAAACAGUAAUAAAUGGUGAGAAUAUAACUAGUAAGCAUUCACACUGACAAUAUACUUUGGAUCCUUGAUUAUAUUUAAAUUAUUUGUGCUAGAUCACCAGAAGGGAAAAUGAAAGAGUUUCAGGGGCAGGACUGCUUGUAAUGUUGGAUGUGCUGAAACAUCUACAAUAAACAAUUUUUCAAUGUCCGAGUUUCUGGGAAUCUGGACGCCCCAAAGAAAUUUUAGUAACUAUAAAAGCCUGAGAACUAAGCUUUGAAGAUGAAACUUCUCUUAUCUGCAAACAUGUGAAUUAUAUAAUCAAGCAGCCAUAGUUCUUAACCGAGUAUCCUUGUCAAUUUAUCCCUAAUGUUUCAGCACUACAAUAGAAUACGUACCUUCGCAUAACCGUUUCAUUAAAGGUUCAAAUCUUCCAGCCACUGCUAAAUGCUCAACAUUCUGCUCCACCUUCUCUAUGCGCUUCAGGACCUCCUCAGCUAAAUGAGAUAAAGAACGAUUUUCCAGAUUAUCUGCCAUACAUGAAAGAAGAACUAACGCCCCCUUUUCUGAAGCAAUUUUGAUGCAGAAAUCUUCAUCACUUGAGAAGUCAAGUAAUAGCCUCACUGCAAAUUCUCUCUCUUUCUCUGAGCUCCCAAUCAGACCAUGUAUAGCCGACCUAGUAAUCCCCUCUGCAAGCAUUAUCACCUGGAAAAUGGUGUGAAGAGGAAGAACACAAAGGGUCGUAAUGUCAAGAUAGUGCACAAGAUUUCAUAUAUUACUAAUUUUAGAAGCUAUAUUUUACUAUACUUUCACAGCUAAACAAAAGGAAUAAAGAAUUUUCACAUGGUUCCAUAACAUGCAUCAAUGAACUUCAUUGAACAUUGGUCAGCUAAACGACUAUUAAAGACCAAUUGAGAGACUUUGCAACAUAUUCUUUGACACCCUAAUACCCAAUCCUUAGAGUAAAAAGGAAUAAAUUGACAAGAUAAAAAAAAAAUGGCAAGAUCAAUGUGAACCUGUUCUCUUCAUUAAGGAGACGAAAGCCUCUCCCUCACACUUUCUUCCUUCAUAUGAUCAAGCUGACUUGCCAAAGGUUGACAAAGAAGACUACUUCACAAAAUGAGUGCUCACAUCAAGUGUACAAUAGCUGGGAAUCUACCUAGUGCUCACAUCAAGUGCACAAUAGCUGGGAAUCUACCUUUUUCUUACCAUUAUAUUGACAGGGCCAUAACUUUUUAGUUGUGACAAAGAUUGAAUCCAGCAGUUCAUAGGCUAGCAACUACCCAGACAGCCUUAUACUUCCUUCUGAUAGAUCAUGAAUUCAGACACUUAGAACUUAAAACUACUGCUGAAUGCUGCCAGAGAAACGUAACUUUAGUUUCUCAGGAAGCCUAAAGACAGCGUGUUCAGUUGGGCUACAUCUAUAAAAACAAGAGCAAAAAGCACCAAAGAGAUUAGACUACAUCACCAAUGCCAGCAGUUAUCAGGACGUUUUAUAUUCACAGCACAAGAAAAGUGAAGGUUGCCAUGUUAACUUUUUAGUUGUUAUAGGAGGUUGAACACACUCACCCUGCUUUCUUCAUCCUUGGCCAUGCUAAACAAUACCAUAAGAGCUUUACUUUUUAAAAGUGAUCCAAUAACCUUCGAAGAAUUCCUAAGCAGCUUGAGAAUAAGAACAACAAUGCCUUCAUUUCUGACCCUGUAUCUGCUCAUAGGAUGCUCUUCAGAAAUCUUAUAUAUGCUAUCCAGUGACCUGUCAAUUGAGUCCAUCGAUGAAGAAUCCUCACUGAGAUACUCAACAGCUCUCUUAAUCUGAACCUCAAUAUUCCGGGUGACCCACUCAUCAAUAGCACCAGCUAAUCCAAUGUUAGGCUUGAGCUCCAAUGACUUUAGCACCACCCCAGUAACAGGACAAGUCGGCUCACGACCAUCUUCUAAACAUCUCUCAAACCAAUAAUUAAUAGCAGUUUUCUCAUAUGUCUGAGCCGAUUCCAACACAACAGGACUCUUCAUUAUCUCCUUGGUUAAGGGACAAAGAAAGUUCUUAAAAGGCAAUAAUUGAGCUCCUUCCUCUUCAGAAUUGAAAUCGAACUUCUGGGUUAGAAUAUCCGGCUGAAUUGCCCAAUUUUCGACAAUCUUCGCUAAUGAUGUCAAGAUACGCCUAUCUGAUAUAGAAGAUGAGUUGCCUAUAUCAUUCCUAAGAAGCUUAACCUGAUCAGCUAAUGCCAAGUGGUUAUUAGAGUCUAUCCCCAAAGCUCUAGCUAAAUCCAUUACCAUUGCACCCUGCACUGCUUUGCUGCAUUGCCUUCCUUGCCCUUCCUUUUUCAAAGUGCAAUAAACUCUUUCUUCAUUCUCUGUCACCUACAUAUCACAGGCCAACAGCUAGCGCACAUUAAAACACCCCUCAUUGACACAGAGAUGGACGCACAUAAUAACAAAACUCUAAAAUGCUACUGCAAGAGCGGAAAGAGAGAGGCCAUAAGCACAGAUAAAAAAGCGCGCAUACUACUAUAACAAAACGAAAAAUGGGAAAACACAUAUGCGAACAGACACGCAGACGCACACCCCAAUAAAAAACAUGGAUUAACACCCAAACAACAUUAUAAUAACUGAAACGAUAGCAAUAAUACUAACGACGACUUAGAACAAUUGACAGAAAAAUGGAAAAGACCGGUCCAGAGCGCACGUAAAACACACACAUGCACAAAGGAAACUUAAACCGACUUUUUUUCUUCAGAAACUUAAGAAGAGUGAACAGGAAAGUGGCCAAAAGCACAUACUAUAAAAACACGGGCAGGCAAAAAAGAGAGAGAGAGAGAGCUGGACUAUGUGAUGUCAUAAUAUAUACAAUAAUAAGGUGGAGAUUAAAAAGAAAAUUUACUCUGAAGUGGGCUUGUUUCAUAUCUCUAGAAAGAUCAGCGAUUUUGUUUUGAAGAUCGGGAAUGCCGUCGUCUUGCACGGCGGAGCCGAGGAGCGCUAACCACGCGGCAAUGGCUAACGUGCGCUCCUGGAGAGAGGCGCAGAGCUCCAGACAGUUAAUGAGCACAAAGAUCUUGCUCUUGUGUUUGUACACAGCUAAAGUCUCAGCGACUUGAGUCAAAUCAACGGUGAUACCUUUGAGAGCAGUCAGAACGGAAGGCGGGAGAUUCUCUGGCACCGUUGACCGGAGAAGCUGGUUGACUAGGAAGUGCAUCCUCUUGACGUACCCGGAGAAGCGUCUAGCGUUUUCCCAAGCGUACUGGCGGUCGUCGGAAACGGAGACAUCGGACAAUGCUCGGUGGAUUGCCUCCACGGCGGCGUGUGAGGAGGACGAUGAGGCCAUUUCCAUUUUGGGGGUGCGUCAGACGAAGAGGGUCAAAGUAGGAAGUCAGGCAUGACUGACUACGUGUGUUUUGGAGCAGUACUAGUAGUAAAAAUUGUUGGCUUUGAGUGAGGGUGAGCGGCAGCGGUGAUUGUAAAGAUUUUCCUCAGUUCAAUUGCAAUGCUGGGUGGGAUGGGAAGAGAGAAAGAGUCAAAGGUUUGACUAGUGGAACUACUUUGACACGCGUAUAAAUAUUAAGCAGUGCUACUUUGCUUACUGCCCCUGGCCCCCCCCCCCCCAAUUGAAUUAUAUCAAUUAAUUAAUAGAGGGUAUUAAUAACUUGAUAUGAAAUUCAAGGAACCCUUUCCUUCAAAAAAAAUAAAAUAAAAAUUCAAGGAACCCGGCACCCUAAGAAAAGAAAAUAAUUUCUUGUACAAAGUAAUUCCAUAUUGGAAUAUGGAUUAGAAAUUCCAUAAUCAGGUUUACUACCCAAUUGAUCCAACAUGGCGAAUAGGAGUGGUAUUUCAUUUCAUAACCCCUCUCUUCUCACGUUCCAAGAGAGAGUUGACCGUGCAGCUCCCCACUGGUUACGUUACAAUCUCUGCUGCUUACAAUUAGUACCACCGUGUGUUUUGACACCUUCCCUUCAAUUGGGAUGGUUUUCUGUUUUGACACCGUCAAUUUUUUAUUUCUCGGGUGAAUGAGCACAUCCCUUCCGCGUCUUUGCACUGACUCCAACACAGCCUUUCAUUGGCUGACGGUUCCCUGCCCCACUCCUAAAACCUUUUGUAAAGUACUCUUAUCACACUCCUCCUUCUCUUAUAUUUAUUUAAAACUUGCAACAUAUUUUUAGACCAAUAGCCUCAUCGGUCUGGCACCAUCUUUUGGGAAAGGAUAUAUGGCGGUUUCUUUACAGUGUAGUUCCUAAAACAAAAACGAUUGCUGCCAUGGAAAAUUUUUAAAAGAUGGCAGGCAACGUGCAAACGUUUCCUCGGAAUAAAUGCAGUUCUGUUUUACAGCGUAAUUCAAUCUUUUAUAGAAUAAUCGUCUUUUUUUGGGAACAAUGGGUUAAGAAUCGUUUAGUCCAGCAGCUGUGUGAGCACAAGGUGCUUUUGAAUUUACUCAAAUCCAAUUGAACAAACAACAAGGGAAGCAACCAUACCAAUCACAGAAGGUCGCUUGCUUAAUCAAGCAACCAAUUACGAGUAAAUUUGUUUGUUUUUUUUCCUUCUUUGGCAAAAUACAAAGGGCUUUAUUCCUUCUGCUGUUGCGGAAUCAUUUCUGCAAAACCUUUUAUUUGUCCAGCGAAUACCUGUUCCUGCAACCAAAAACAUGGUCUCCUUUCAAGUGCAUAGCUUGAUUCUGCUAUAGCUGAAUGAAAUAUUUAUUAUUGUAUACAAACCUAAAGCUUGACAAUAUCUAAAAGUGCUCCUCGACGUCUCAUUUUCUGAUUCAGUGUCGUAGUAUUUUUGUUCCGAUUUUUGCCUUGAAUUUUGUAUUCUUAAAUACUUGCAAAAUCACACAUUACUAGUUAGCAGUCAAUUCAGGAGUAUCAAUUCCAUGAUAUAUUUCGCUGCUACGUACACGAGGAUGUCUCUAAUGCGAGAGAGCACAAUCUUCUGGUUACCUUCAUAUCCGACUUAUAUCACGGCCAAAUACAAGGGUCGUUAACCAGUUGAUUGCUACGUAGAAUCUGUUCCUCCAGCUUAUGACACGGGUAAGAUAAGCAGACCGCCAGACAAACCAGCUUCCAAAUCCAGCCACAGAUAAUCCUCUUGCCUCCUGUACAAGGCCUCAAGAAACUGAGCCACCCACCAGAAGCAGUUUAACUGCCACAACAAAGAAAUACACGUACAGAUACAUUGGGUCAUUAACUAACCUUGCUCUGCCUGAGGUCCACAAGGCCUUGUAUCUACCAAUGGUCGCCAUGCUCCCCAAAUGCCUAUAGACAAAUGGAGACCCAAGAUCGAUAUCCAUUGCAGCAUUGGCACGUCCACCACCAGCUUUACCAAUCCUGUUCAGUUCUUGUGCUAGAUAUUUUCCCUGCCGCUCAGCAACCUGGCCAAUGUAUACAUUGCAGAAACAAAUUACUUGAGAUAGUAAAAGUACGUCAAAUUGAUGUAGUGCCAGCCGGUCCACCAAUAUGCAGCCACAAAUCUUCAACCACACAGUGCAACACAAGAACUGGAGAUUUGCUACAUGCAAAUCUGUUGUACUUGCUAAAAAUUCAUGUCAUGAUAGUCAAGAAUUGGCAGUAUUGAUCAACCUUAGCAAGAGGGCACCCUACCUCAUAAAACUUAUUACCAUUGUUGGAACAAACAUUAUGCAAUCAACAGUUAAGGAUUUGUUACAUUGUCCAAAAACUGAACAACUGGAAAAAGAUGUAACCUGGAUGUAUAUAUAUAUAGACACACACACACACACACACACACACACACAUAUAUAUAUAUCAAUAACAACAAAAAACAAUGUCCUCAUUGAACCAAACCUUUGCUAAUUCGCAAGUUCUCUUUCAUAAUUCUUUACUCACAUUCUGUUAGCCUUUUGUUUUUCAUUCAACAAUCUGUCGAGAAAAGAGCAGAAACUAAGCUUGAAAAACAGAAUAUUGGAAUUAUUGAAGCACGAGGAAGGUAGUCUGGGAUACGGAUCUUGGGUUUGGAAAAGUUGACAGAUCCAGUACACCUUUCUAUGGGGAAAUGCAAAACCAGAACAGAUCAUAUCCCAAGCAUGACAAAGUCUAGCUUAGGAGUUCCAUAAUAACUUUUCAAAAUGAAAGGGAAGAAAUGAAAUACAAAAUGAAAUUUCAAACCUAUACCCACUUAACCAUAUAUAACUUAUCAAUUUACUGGAUAGAAAAGAAAGAGUUACCACAAACGUUCUCCAACUAUGUAACAAUUAUAACACUUUUCACACAAAAUUAUCUGCAUUAAGUAUUUUCCUUAACUUACCUGAGCCAGAGCUGGAAGCACAGGCUUGCCUGUUGAUUCAAGAAACCCACAGCAGUCACCAAUAGCAAAAAACAUCCUGCACAGCAGGGACACGAAGCCACUCGUCUACCCCUAUCCUGAAGAUGCACGAACUGUUGUAAUAAGUCUUUCAAGCGCAGAAAAUAAAGAGAAAUUGGAAAUGGAAAAGAAACACAGCCCUGUUGUAACAUCUAGUGAUCAACAAUUUGACUACAUAACAAUCAUGUAAAACUCUUGGAGGCAGUGCAAAAUUACCAUGUGAUGUUCCAAAAUCAAACCUUAGUCAAUUCAAGUUGAUAGAAACCUGGAUGGAUAAACUUGUAAUUCUAUCAUAUGGAAGAAUCCAAAUCUUUUUCUUUCUCUUUUUUUUUUUGGGGGUGGAGGGCGGGGAGCUAAUAUAAGUAUCUAGGAGAAGGAAUAAAUUUUUAUCCAUUUGGAGGCCAAUAACCUUAUCAGAAGCUUAAGCUUUCAAGAAUCUGCAUGUAUAAAAGCAGAAGGUAUCGAAUCCAUGCUGACCUUCCCCCAGGUGAUUUGGGAACAUCCACGGAUUUGACAAAAGGUGAAGGGCCAACGCCAGUAGACCACACCAGCAGACCAUAAGGUACAUCAGUCCCAUCACUAAGAACUAUCUUCUCAGGUUGAACAUCCUUCACAAUUCCACGAACUAGACGAACUCCUGACUGAGAAGCUACUAAAUUAAUAACAAAAAUCACAAACAACACUAUGAGGUCUGACAUGCUUAAUAGAAGUAAAUUAAAAAUACCAAUUGGUAGCCAAGGUAAACAAAAUAAACUACCUUAAUCCCUAGUCACAACAUCUAGGGCCAUACUUUCAUAUGAUUGAAAAACAUAGAAAUAACAAUCGUUAAAUUAACAUCUCUGCACAUAUAUAUGUGCAAAUGGACAUACAAACUCUUACCAGGGUCUCACCUUAAUCAACUGCUUGGUUGCGUAUAUCCGCAGGCGAUCAUCAAAGGAAGACAAAAUCUCAUUUGCCUGGAAAUGAAGAAGCGGUAACUUGUUAUGAUCAAUUAACACUUUGUGCAAAACGAGUAUUAUACAAAUAAGUAAUAAUUGCAAUAGGAAAAUGUCAACGCACAACAAAAAACAAGAAGAAGAAGAAAAAAAAGAAAAGUGAAGGCGCGAUACAGUAUUUUUUUUAUUAGCUUUACCUCAAUCAAAGUAACGCGUAUAUAAUCCUUGACAUGAGCGUAUCUCUGGCGGACAUCCCUCGUGAUAAAAUCACUAAGUUCACCGCUGAACUCAACGCCUGUUGGACCACCACCAACAACUACACAAUGUAGGAGCCUACGUUUCUCUUCAUCACUAACUCCUGCCUCACCGGUACCGUAUCAGCAAAAAGAGUCCAGAAUAAUGCUAGUUCAUUCAAAUGUGAGCAGAAUUUGGGAUAUAAGGCAGCAUAACGGAUACCUGGCACAUCAGAGAGCAUGAGAUUAAGAAGCAAUUUCCUCCGGAUUUCCUGAGCAUGAUGAACCUCGCGUAGAAAAAUGGCAUGUUCUUUAACACCCCUGAUGCCGAAAGUUGACGCUUCUGCUCCAGCUGCAAUCACCAGCUUGUCAUAUGCAAUGGUGAAGUUCCAUGGCUCCAAAGUACCAGCCCCAUCAGUUACUGUUUGGCAAUUCACCUACCCCAGAAAAAGAAAGAGAAAAAGAAAAAAAAAAAAAAAAAGGAGUAAUGACCGCUAAACAGCUAAGGAAACUAUGCUAAAAAAGAAAAAUAUUGCUUUCUUAACACGAAAUUUAUAAGUAUCAGCGAUGAUCAUCAGACCAAAAAUGAGGGAAUAUAUACCAGAUGGUUUUGGAAAUCAACGCCGGUGGAGUUAGCAAGGAAAUAGUACGAACCGGGUUCCCGAGAAAUGGCAGGUUGGAUCCUUCCAAUGGGUUCGGCAACAGACCGGAAUUCCAGAGUGCCGACGCACGUGGAGGCCAGCAAUGGAGUGAAGACCAUGUGAUUCCUGGGGGAGACGCAAACGACGUCGUAAAUGCUGGUAUCGAUAUCUUUAAUGAGUCUGCAUCCGGCCCAUCCCGAGCCCAAAACCACCACCCUCGCCUUCUCAUCCCCCUUUGUGGGCGCAAGCCCAGCAUACGUCGCGGCAACAGUACCAGCUCCACUGCCUUUAUCACUCACCUCCGCCUCCGCCGCCUUCUCUUCGGUGGCGGCGGUGCUGAACUGUAGCAACUGGUGGGCGAAAGCAUAGGAAAGUGACGUAGCAGUAGUGAUGGGUUUGAGCGACGAGUGUGUUCCGAAGGUCGUAGAGGAGGAGAGGGGGAUGAGAUUUCUGAACCAAGGCAUGGCGGUUUAGGGUGGAAGCUGUUGGUUUUAAUAUUUUAUUUGUUUCCUUAUGUAGUAGUAGUGGAAGGCUGGUACUUUUUAUGCUGGAUAAUGGAUUUAAGGGAGGAUUGACGACAUGAACGAAUUGGUGAUUGAGGAUUUAAGAAGGGAAUUGGAAGAUUCUCUGAUUUUUGGCAUCCCCAGUUUUUUGGGGAGAGUUUCUGUGGUUUUGACGGAAAAUGGAUCGAGUACGGUCAUACGAGAAAUUAUUAUCAUUAUUAUUAUUGUCAUUGGCUGCUGCGCUGGGACGACGAGACAGGUGGCGGCCUGAUGGGUCAACAGAUGGCAUGAUGGUGGUGGCUAUUACCUGGUCGAGGAUUCGGUGAAUCAAAAAAUUUCGCGCCCCGCAAGAGAUGGAAAGGUGGUAUGGUGGUCUCUGUCCUUUUCUUUUUUGGUUUUAACAAAAUGGUCUUUGUCAGUUGAUAAUAUUAAAAAAAAAAAAAACAGAUAUUACUUAGAAAAAACUGAAAUAAACAAAGCCUUUUCUUUGGCAAAGUAGUUUGUUUUUUUCGUUUUUGUGCAUAAUUUCUUAUUUUGGUUUUCCAUUUGUUGCUCGAUGAAGUUCAGAAGUUAAUUACUUGAUCUAUAUGUUGUUUUUCCUUCUAAACUAAAAAUUUAAUCUAUUUUUAUGUUACGAGGGAGGAAGGUACCCAACACGAUUUGUAUGGGAUUGGAGGUGAACCUCCAACUGGGCAACAACGAGAAAGGCAAGUAGAAGACGUAAGCAGAGUCGACUUCCUCUUCCCAUUUCCAUCCUUCUCAGUUUUUUUACUCCUCAAGAAGAUGGCCUGGUGUUGUGCAGUGUUUAUAUAUGUAGAAGUCUUAGCGCUGGCGUUGUGCAGUGAGUAUACGCAUGUAUAACAAAGAUCAUGGGCAACCCCCCCCCCCCCCCAAAAAAAAAACCACCAAGGAAAAAAAAAACCAUUUUCAUUUUGGGGUUGGGGAAGAUUGCAGUUGACAUUCGAGCAAAUGGUUUGAGACAUGAUGCGAGAGUAUUGUGGGAGUAUCCGAGCGGCGCAUCUUGGGUCAACGGAUUGCUGUUGCUCACCUAACUAAUUUAAGGUAAGCUGCCGUUUACCAUAAUUCCUUUAGUUGGGUAGCACUCACAAACUUUACGGACUCCAGGAGAUUGAGAAGCACAUGGAAUUAAACUUGUGACUUCCACGCCAACCAGUCCGAGAUAGCAAUUCCCAGUAAAGAAUUCCAAUUCAUAUACUAGUUUUUAUAAUUCCGUUGUCUUCAUCUUGGUACCUUAUUAACACAUUGAAGGCUCCUACAAGUGAAUCAUCACACAUUCAGCUCAUUUUAGUACCUUAAUAAAUAGAUUGAAGCCCAAGUAAGUGGAACAUAAAAAGCGGAAAAUAAAUAUGCAAUUAAACGAGCUUUGAAGGAAACUGAUAAUCAAGUCAUUUGUUACAAGGACAAAAUGCAUUCCCUUGCGACUACCCUAAGAUCAAUUAUAGUAAAUUCCUGUCAAUGCAUUUGAGAGUUGCGUCUUUUUUUUCUUUUUGUCUGUCCGUCUAACGAGUGUCCACUUGUUAAGAUAUAAUUCAUUUGUUAACAUUUUUAAGGAGAAGAAGCUAUCCUGCGUGUUGAUAUUGUCAGUGCAAUAUUUAUCACAUACAAAUCGACAGGUAAGAACUCAUUAACAGCAUCUAGGCGAACACAUAUAUAGUGUAAACUUUGUGUGGCUUUCUACAGACACAAACUGUCGGCAAAAUUAACUUCACAUCCAAAAGUGUUUCUUGUGCUAUAGCCCGAUUGCAAAAAUCAAAAAAGACAAAGAAAAAAAAGUUUGUAGGUUCUGUGACCUUCACUUCUUUUGCCUUUGUUUUUUUUUUCUUUUUAGUCAUAUCUUUUCGUAUAUAAUUAAAGCAUGAGACAUGGUUUCGAUAUUGAAUUCUUGGUUUUCUUAAAUGGGUCUAAAAUUUAUCAUAUAUAUCUAAAAAUUUCUCAUAUCCAAAUCCAAACAAAUUUAAUAUCGUCCACCCUCCACGAAAUGAAGAACACUACUAGCUGGCAAAAUCGAAACUGUUUCGUAAUGGCUCACAACAAUAUUUAUUAAUUUCGGCUGCCACUCACGGUCGCGGGUUCGCUCGUAGUAACGGCCCACUACUCAAAAAUCUUCGCCCCUAUUUAUAAUAACUUAUAAGACAACAUGCUGGUUGUUUCAAAACCAAGAUUCAGCUUAGCUAAUCACAAGGUUUUUGGUUUGACUCUCUAACCUAAUCUCUUUUCUUAUCCCCUCUUGUAUGAUUUGAGUGUCCUCUUGAAUUAAAAAAACGUUUGAUUGUCUAAACAAAAACUAGGAUAUAUAAAGAGUUUGGCUAAUGAGUAUCCAUUAAGAGCACUCAUUACAAGUAGCCUUAAGUGUUUGUUUUUUUUUUUUGUUUUUUUUGCCAAUAAGUGUAAUUAAUUUGAGAAGGUAUCUAAAUGCAUAAGGUGCAAUAUUGUGACUGUAUAUAUUCACAUGGUAAAUAAGCAAACAUCCUUUAGUAAAAUCCUAGCAUGAAUGAUUUGUUUUUAAUUUAAUUGUCACUGAUAACGCCUAGCUAUUCAUAGUAUAAUCUUAUAAAACGAAUAUUAAUUCCUUUAAUUUUAUCCUUAAAUCCCAAGCUUGAUGGGCGUUGGACCCCAAAAAGACAAGUAAAAUAAAAUGUUUCAGCAUGUGUCACACAUAUAGAUAUAAUCAAUACAAUCUAACUCCUCUCGGCCACUAAUUGUGAUAGAAAGGAAUAUGCAUCAGUUGAUCUCUAAAGUUUCAAUUCACAAAGAAGCAAAUGUUGUAGUAUGGAUAAAUUGCAAUCUCCCUCCUCCCUCAAGAAAAUGCCACUUAAUAACAAAGUCUUGAACGUACGUGAAUUUCAUUAAGAAAAAAAAAAAACAUGGAAAGAAAGAAACAGCAUACACAACAAACCCUUCAAUGAAAUGUAAACAGGAAACAGUUGCCUUGACGAAGCCCUCCCUAAGCAUAGGAAGGAAUAUCCAUAACGCAAAAAAAACAAAACAUCAAACGGAGCUCUUUAUUGCACAAUGCAUCAGUUGAUCUAAAGUUACAGUUUUAGACCCCCCCAGGAUUGGAUCAUACUUUUUAGCCGCUCACGUCGUAUGCAGAAAAAGGUACUGAUAGCAAAUUGCCGGACUUGUUUUAUAUAUCAACGUUUCCUGGGCCUCAUUUGCGGUGACCGCGCCUAGGAUCAUGGCCGGUGUUAGCCGAGGGUGCGCUGUAAUCAUCAAGCUUGAUUUUCAGAGACCUUCCUUCCAUCCCGGCAACAAUCGUCUCCUCUUCUGAAACGAGAGAGAGCCCAUUUAUAUUUUCUGUGAAUAUUACGGGUGUUCGUUGAAAUAGUAAAUGCGUGAAUGGAUAAUGAUACUCGAAAAUACCUGAAAUGAAAUGUGUUGUUUAGCGGAGCAAAUAACGAGAAAGGCAAGCAGAAUACAGAAGCAGAUCGACUUCCUCCUCCGAAGCCCAUUCCUCUUUUCAGUUUUUACUCCUAAAGAAGACGGUGUUGUGCAGUGAAUGCCCUUCCUUCUAUAUAGAAAGAGUCUACGACUGUGGGUUCCUGGCCCUUCCUUCUAUAUAGAAAGAGUCUACGACUGUGGGGAUUCCAUAUAUAUAUAUAUAUAUAUAGCGUCAUUUCUGUUCCCCUUUUUUUGUUUAAAAAAAGAAAGUGGGGUUUGGUGGAAAAUUGGAGUACAUUGCAGGUUGCAACCCGUUUGCGAUGUGAAGUUUUCUCGGAGCAUCUGAACCGCUCAUUUUGGUCAACGGAUUGCUUUUUUUUUUUGGGCCAACGGAUUGCUGUUGCUUGCUUGUCUAAUCAAGGUAAACGUAGCUGGUAGCGAUCACAAAGUUUACGGACUCCAUGAGAUUGAGAAAGUAGGAAAUUACUCUGAGAGUGUGUUUGAAUAGUAAACUUAUUUUAAAUAAUUUUUAUUUAUAUCAUAGACAUAAUUUGAAUUAAUUUUUUUGUAUUUCACAUGCAUCAAAUCCUAAAAAAUGCUAUAAUAAUUGUUCUAUAAAUAAUUUGAAAUAAUCUCAUAUUGCAUCCUUCAUGUAGUUUUUGGACAAUAUUUCCCCCCUGAUUUUAGUUUUAUUUUUGCAACACUUUAAUGGCCCCAAAUCCAAUGAGUAGAACACAACAAAGUAUUGGACCGACCCAAAUGAGUGGUUAACAGGGAAGAACCAUCUUCCCGAUGAAAUGAAUUAUGGAGGAAACUAAUAAUACAACAAGUUAAUUGUCACAAACAAACUAUUGGGAUCAAACCAGUAGUUAGGGAAAAAGUCUUUCAGAAUCUUCCCUUCAUCAAUUUAAGGAUUCAAAUUGUGUUCUGACAAUUACAGGUGGGUGAAAGAGUGGGAUAGGGAUGAAAAGGUCUUAUUCCAGACUUAUUCUUCCACUGGGAUUCUCAGCUAUUUCCGUACCUUCCAUUAUUCCCAUGCCAGAGUCGUUUGCAACCUCAGAACCAUUCCACUAGGCAUUUUAUUUUUCAUUUUAUGAUGUGAAAUUCAAUUCAAGAGAUUCAAACAUUGAGGACUCCUUAAUUUGUGUGGACGAGCCAUAUACAUGUCUCAUAUCACAACAACAUCUUUGGAUGCAGCAUGAAAGUAGAGAGAACUAGCAAUCCGACGAAGUUCAGCGUUCGCGUUCAUCACAAAGUCUCCCCGGCCAAAAAGCCAUCCUGCUGCCUGAACUAUGUGGCUUUCUAGAGACAAAAACGGUGGCCAAGUUAACUUCACACUCACUGGUGCUUCUUAAGCUAUAACCCCUUCUGCAAAACCACGUACAUAUACACGUAAGCUGGGCGAAUCUCUACUAGCCACUAUUUACCCCUUUUUUUUUGUAAUAAAAAUUUAUCUGAAUUCGACUCCAACCAUAACCACGCGUUAGAAUAUGUUUUGAGAUCUAAAGUUACUUGCAAAAGAGCGAUCCUUAUUGAGUCCCUUCCACGUACCGGUCAAUUAAGAAAAUAAAUGAACAAGAGUUUUAACCCAGCCACCAAAUCAGUUGGGAUCCUCUAUGUCACUAUUCUCGUGUCAAAUUCAAUGCCAAUCCACUUAUCAUAUGAUGGUAGAAGAAAUUUAAAUAACUAUAUAUAACAGGACACUUGACAUAAAUAUAGAAGUGGCACUGAAUUGUCACUGAAUAAACGCACCAGUCGAUGGCACGUGCAGCGUCUUCACGAACUGACACUUAAAAAUUUACCGGAUAAAAUAAUCCAAAAAAACACACACCAAGAGAACAAUGUCAUUCAUUAGAGGUAUUAAAAUGGAUGACUCCAAUGACUUUGGACAUGUCAUGAUUGGAUAAUGAAUUUAAUUUCAUCAAUUCAUUUAUAUCAAUUUAAAUAAAUGAGUAUCAUAUAAAUAUAUUUAUUUAUUUAUUUAUUUAUUAAAUACAUAUUGAUAUAUCCAAUUACCCAUUUAUGAACUACUUAAAAUUCUACUUAUUUUUUUCUUUUUUUUAGCAUUUUUUUGACAAAAAAAAAUAUUUUGUUAUUAGCAGAUUGAUAAAAAAAUUCAAAUUUAUUUGCUUAACACUCACUAAAAUUGAAUUUAAAUAUAUAUAAUUAUUUUUAAAUAGAUAUACAUGAGUGAAUCGAAUCAACUCGCUACUUUAAUUGACUAUCCGUUUAAAUCCAUUCAAAAUUAACGAGCAAGUUUAAAUGAAUUAUUGGUGAACAAAUUUGGACGAAUCAACAUAAUUAGUUGUGAUGGACACCUCUAAAUGUCACCAAGCAAGAAAACCUUGCGGAGAAGACUUUGGCAAUACAUAUUAGGCCUGGUAAACUCGACUAGCAUCAAAACAUCCGGAAAAGUAGAGUUAUACUCGACGGGUUUUAAGGAGAAGACUAUGGUAAUACAAACUAGGCUUAGUAAACUCGACUAGCAUCAACACAUCCGGAAAAGUACAGUGUACUUAACCAGUGUGCCACGCCUUCGUUAUGGUAACAACUUUGUAUUGUUGUCUUUUGUUUGUCACAUGGCAUCUAAGCAUGCUGUGUAUUCCUCCUUUCAAUCGAAAAAAUUGGUGAAGAAAACAUGACUCCCACCGUCCAGAUACUCGACGGAUCUUACCUGAUCAGAGCAAGUUAUAAAAAGAGGAAAAAGAACUCAGAAAACUGCUUUUAGCCAGCGUCAUGACAAUCAAGCAAAUUCUUCAAGCAAAUAUUACAUUACCAGAAAAAAAGGUCAUCUGGCAUCUUUGCAUAAUCUGACCUGCUGCGAGGGGCACAGGCAUGAAUGUGGAUCUUUUAACAAGAAGAUUAUGGACAUAAACAAGAAAAUGGAAUAUAUUAAUUUUCUGUUUACACCUUCAAAUAACAAGCAAAGAUCAACGCAAAAUGGUGCAUGCCAUGGAAAAAUCCCGCAAAAAAGCGGGUACCACAGGAAUCACUGAAUCAAGCACCCACAGCAGGGAAUAUCCAACCAAAACAUACAUAACAGAAACUAAUAUGCAAACAAUUUUGACAGCUAAAACAGGUUCUUGAAAUACACCUAUCCAUAACAAUAUCAAGUGCAAUAAGUUGUUGAUACACCAUAAGAAACAUCAAACUUAAAAAACCGCUAGCUGUUUAUAAAGUGAACAAACUUCAGAGAAUUACCAGCCAGAAAGGAAGUUCAGCUUUUGCAAGGCCUAGAAAGAGAUUGCAUACUAUAGAGAGAGAAAUUUCAGAUCAUUUACUUCCCACAAAAGUAGAUAUAAAGAUAUGAUUUUGCACUUCUAUCUUACAGUAGUACCACAAUUCCAAUACACCCCCAAUUAGUGAAGCAAUGAUGAACCUAUA